rnacentral:rRNA from 1 species
AGCAGCCGCGGUAAUUCCAGCUCCAAUAGCGUAUAUUAAAGUUGUUGCAGUUAAAAAGCUCGUAGUUGAAUUUCGGGGUUAGCAGGUCGGUCGUGCCAUUGGUAUGAACUGGUCUCGCUGAUCCCUCCCUCUUGAAGAACUGUGAUGCCAUUAAUUUGGUGUCGCAGGGAAUCAGGACUGUUACUUUGAAAAAAUUAGAGUGUUUAAAGCAGGCUUACGCUUGAAUACAUUAGCAUGGAAUAAUGAAAUAGGACGUUUGAUCCUAUUUUGUUGGUUUCUAGGAUUGACGUAAUGAUUAAUAGGGAUAGUUGGGGGCAUUAGUAUUCAAUUGUCAGAGGUGAAAUUCUUGGAUUUAUUGAAGACUAACUACUGCGAAAGCAUUUGCCAAGGAUGUUUUCAUUAAUCAAGAACGAAAGUUAGGGGAUCGAAGACGAUCAGAUACCGUCGUAGUCUUAACCAUAAACUAUGCCGACUAGGGAUCGGAUGAUGUUAAUUUUUUAAUGACUCA